rnacentral:rRNA from 1 species
CUUAGAGGAAGUAAUAGUCGUAAACAGGUUCCGUUGGUGAACCAGCGGAGGGAUCAUUACCGAGUUUACAACUCCCAAACCCCUGUGAACAUACCUAUACGUUGCCUCGGCGGAUCAGCCCGCGCCCCGUAAAACGGGACGGCCCGCCCGAGGACCCUAAACUCUGUUUUUAGUGGAACUUCUGAGUAAAACAAACAAAUAAAUCAAAACUUUCAACAACGGAUCUCUUGGUUCUGGCAUCGAUGAAGAACGCAGCAAAAUGCGAUAAGUAAUGUGAAUUGCAGAAUUCAGUGAAUCAUCGAAUCUUUGAACGCACAUUGCGCCCGCCAGUAUUCUGGCGGGCAUGCCUGUUCGAGCGUCAUUUCAACCCUCAAGCUCAGCUUGGUGUUGGGACUCGCGGUAACCCGCGUUCCCCAAAUCGAUUGGCGGUCACGUCGAGCUUCCAUAGCGUAGUAAUCAUACACCUCGUUACUGGUAAUCGUCGCGGCCACGCCGUAAAACCCCAACUUCUGAAUGUUGACCUCGGAUCAGGUAGGAAUACCCGCUGAACUAAAGCAUAUCAAUAAGC